rnacentral:rRNA from 1 species
CCGCCUGGGGAGUACGGCCGCAAGGUUAAAACUCAAAUGAAUUGACGGGGGCCCGCACAAGCGGUGGAGCAUGUGGUUUAAUUCGAUGCAACGCGAAGAACCUUACCUGGUCUUGACAUCCACAGAACUUGCCAGAGAUGGCUUGGUGCCUUCGGGAACUGUGAGACAGGUGCUGCAUGGCUGUCGUCAGCUCGUGUUGUGAAAUGUUGGGUUAAGUCCCGCAACGAGCGCAACCCUUAUCCUUUGUUGCCAGCGGUUAGGCCGGGAACUCAAAGGAGACUGCCAGUGAUAAACUGGAGGAAGGUGGGGAUGACGUCAAGUCAUCAUGGCCCUUACGACCAGGGCUACACACGUGCUACAAUGGCGCAUACAAAGAGAAGCGACCUCGCGAGAGCAAGCGGACCUCAUAAAGUGCGUCGUAGUCCGGAUUGGAGUCUGCAACUCGACUCCAUGAAGUCGGAAUCGCUAGUAAUCGUAGAUCAGAAUGCUACGGUGAAUACGUUCCCGGGCCUUGUACACACCGCCCGUCACACCAUGGG